UAUGUGAUCGUCUCUCGCAUAUCAAUAAGCGGAGGAAAAGAAACUAACAAGGAUUCCCCUAGUAACGGCGAGUGAAGCGGGAAGAGCUCAAAUUUGAAAUCUUAAAGGGUUUCCCUUUACGAAUUGUAGUUUAAAGAAGUGUUUUCUGUUGAGGUUUUGGUAAAAGUUCUUCGGAAUAGGACAUCAUAGAGGGUGAGAAUCCCGUAUUUGACCUUUACUUUCAACUUUGUGAUACACUUUCAAAGAGUCGGAUUGUUUGGGAAUGCAGUCCAAAAUGGGUGGUAAAUUUCAUCUAAAGCUAAAUAUUGGCGAGAGAUCGAUAGCGAACAAGUACCGUGAGGGAAAGAUGAAAAGAACUUUGAAAAGAGAGUUAAACAGUACGUGAAAUUGUCAAAAGGGAAGCGUUUGACACCAGUGUUGUUUUUCUGAAAAUCAAUUAGAGAACUGUUUAUGCUAAGUUGUUUAGACUUUAUCAGCUAACUGUUUAGUUUUGAGCUUUUCUUUAAUGCACUUUUCAGUUAACAAGUCAACAUCAAUUUCUUUUGCUGUAAAAAAGCUUGAGGAAGGUGGCUUGAGAUUCGUCUUAAGUGUUUAUAGCCUCUUGCCUAUGCAGUCGGAGAGAUUGAGGUCUGCAGCGUAGAUCCUUCGGGGCUAAAUGCAUUUGUGCUAAGUUAUAGCAUUUUAUAGACAACUUGUUGACUAUGAUUUGUCUUGUAGCUUACUCGCUUAUGUUAUUUUACCUACGCUUAGGAUGUUGAUCUACAGAGCGAGAGU
rnacentral:rRNA from 1 species